GAUGAAGAACGUAGCGAAAUGCGAUAAGUAAUGUGAAUUGCAGAAUUCAGUGAACCAUCGAAUCUUUGAACGCACAUUGCGCCCGGCAGUAAUCUGCCGGGCAUGCCUGUCCGAGCGUCAUUUCUACCCUCGAGCGAGUCCAGCAUCUAGGUGCUGGGCCCGCCCGGCGUUGGAGCACUACGGGAAGCCCUGUGCUGUCCCCCGUAGGCCCCGAAAUGAAGUGGCGGUCCUGCCGCGGCGCCCCCUGCGUAGUAUAACAGCUCGCUUCGGGACCCGGUGGAGGCCUGCCGUCAAACCUAUACUCUCUAAGUUUGACCUCGGAUCAGGUAGGGUUACCCGCUGAACUUAAGCAUAUCAAUAAGCGGUGGA
rnacentral:misc_RNA from 1 species